UCUAUUAAUUGAAUUUUGUGAAUACAAAUGCUUCAGCUUUUAUCAAGACGACUGCUAUGACAGACACGAUAUGACAGUUUAUGUAGCUAAAUAUUUGAGACUGCUUAGUGAAAAUGUGCAGGAUUUCAACCUUUCAGUUUGCGCUGUACCAAUGUAACUAGUUAGCUUGCAUUUGUUUCAGUAAUUUAUUGUAUCCAGCUAGUUGUUUUAUUAUUACCCAUUAUUCAUAUUAAUUAAAGUGAUAUAUUUAAAUGUUAACAACUGCAUGUCUUAGUAGACAAGUGAGCAAUACUUCAUGCUAAACACUGGUACUCAAUGUAUAUUCAUUGUUCGUCUCCGGACUGCACUCUCAUCACAAUGCGGCCUUUGCUUAAAACAUCCGGGGAUUUUAUUUGAAACUUAUCCAAACAGUGGGGAGCUAGGCGUCCGGACAUCAUUAGUAGCUACACAUAUAAAGGUUCUGAACUCCAGCGUCACGUUAAAACGAAAACUUUACCUGUUUUUAACAAUACGCCUACACCUCUUCUUAAGUUUAAUUCGUAUGGUAUUUUAGGUUUUGCUUGUUUUUGUGUGUGCCUUUUUUCAUUUUUGGCUAGAGCGAGUUAAUCACCCUGACCAAUACGCAGUUGCGAAGAAAAGAUAAAGGAAUAAUAUAAAUCGCUGGCUAGCUAACGUUACACAAACACAACUCCAGAUACAUCUAGCUACCCUUUUGUAAGGGGGUUCAUUUUAAGGUAAAUGCGUUCUAGAUAGCGAAGACAUACAAAAAUCCAAAGACCGAAUAUAGCAAAAACUCAGCAAUCAUAACUUUGGUCGAAGAAAAAACACUGUCCAUUGUAACGUUAGCAAGUCGACCACCUAAGUAAGACGCGAACAACACCAAGCAGUACGAGUCGGCGCGAGACAGCAACGAUAGGUUUGGCAGAAGAGAAGCGCGCAUCUUUUUUACGUGUGGAAUGAACAUGGUCCACAUGAGUGUUUUUAUCCACGAACUCGCCCUGCAGCCAUGAUCGAGUGGGACAGACUGCGGACAGCGGAGGGAAAGGAGGUACGGAACCACCGACCGCCCCUUCUCGUGUAAAAGAGGAGCAUAUCAUGGGGCAGAGGGAAUUUGGCCCAUGCCUCCUUGAAAGCUCCCU